GACGAACGCUGGCGGCGUGCUUAACACAUGCAAGUCGAACGGAAAGGCCCUGCUUUUGUGGGGUGCUCGAGUGGCGAACGGGUGAGUAACACGUGAGUAACCUGCCCUUGACUUUGGGAUAACUUCAGGAAACUGGGGCUAAUACCGGAUAGGAGCUCCUGCUGCAUGGUGGGGGUUGGAAAGUUUCGGCGGUUGGGGCUGGACUCGCGGCUUAUCAGCUUGUUGGUGGGGUAGUGGCUUACCAAGGCUUCGACGGGUAGCCGGCCUGAGAGGGUGACCGGCGACAUUGGGACUGAGAUACGGCCCAGACGCCUACGGGAGGCAGCAGUGGGGAAUAUUGCACAAUGGGCGGGAGCCUGAUGCAGCAACGCCGCGUGCGGGAUGACGGCCUUCGGGUUGUAAACCGCUUUCGCCUGUGACGAAGCGUGAGUGACGGUAAUGGGUAAAGAAGCACCGGCUAACUACGUG
rnacentral:rRNA from 1 species